ACACACCUGGACACACACACUAACACACACUGAUUCAAGUUCAAUUCAAUUUUAUUCAUAUAACACCAAUUAAUAAUGAUAAUAGACUUCAUUUCUAGGUUCCUUUCAGAACAGCCAGCUCAUCAUACAGAGGAAACAGAGUUAAAACACAUAAAACUUAGAGAUGUAAAAAAUUUAAAAGAAGGGAAUUUAGCAGUUUUUAAAAACAGAAGAAGAAAGAGAAAGGAGGUCAGAGAAAGAGGAUGGUUUGAAGUGGUGGGUUUGGAGACGAGAUCUAAAGAUGUCCAUCGUGUCAACGAGGGAGUUCCAGACACUGAAGGUUCCGGAGAUCAUGGUGGUCGUGGUGGAGGGAUGCUGAGGCUGAGGGAGGAAGAUGAUCUGAGGUGAGCUGGGUGUGUUGAUGUGGAGGAGAUCAAUGAGGAACAGAGGGCCUUGAAGGUUAGGAGAAUGGUUUUGUAGAUGAUGUGGGGCAGUUGUUGGAGAACCGGGGUGAUGUGGUGGAGAGAAGAUGUUCUGGUGAUGAUCCAGGCUGCAGCGUUCUGGACUAGUUGGAGUUUAUGGAUGGACUGAAGACCAGCAGUAGUCCAGGAAGGAGGAACCAGAGAGAGGACCAGGAUGGAGACUGAGUAUGCAGACCCAGUGAUGUUACUGAUGUGGGUUUGGAAUGAGGAGGACACCCAGACUCUGAGCUGUGGUGGAAACCAGACUGGAGCUGGUCAUAGAGGUUGUUUUUGAAGAGGCGAGAGUGGAUCUGAGAUUAAACUGUUUUCUCCAGGAUUUUUGAGAGAAAUUGCAAGUUGGACGUGGGUUGUUGAAGUUGUUGGGGUCUGAAGCAGGUUUCAUGCAGCAGAUUUCAGAGAUGAUGGGACAGAACCAGAGGCGAGGGAGGAGUGGAUGAUGGCAGUGAUCAGAGGCGACAAAUACACAACUGUCAAUUACAGCUACAGCUCAGAUUGUCUCAAGAGACUUUACAGAACCCAAAUGAACGCCAGAACAAGAAAAAAUCUUUAACGGGAAGAAACCUGGAGCAGAACCUGGCUCUUUAUGUAGGGGAACCAUCUGCUGCUGGAUGGAGGUAGAGAGGAACAGAAGAGGUGGAGAGGAACAGAAGAGGAGGAGAGGAACAGAAGAGGUGGAGAGGAGAGGAACAGAAGAGGAGGAGAGGAACAGAAGAGGUGGAGAGGAACAGAAGAGGAGGAGAGGAACAGAAGAGGAGGAGAGGAACAGAAGAGGAGGAGAGGAACAGAAGAGGAGGAGAGGAACAGAAGAGGAGGAGAGGAGAGGAACAGAAGAGGAGGAGAGGAACAGAAGAGGAGGAGAGGAACAGAAGAGGAGGAGAGGAACAGAAGAGGAGGAGAGGAACAGAAGAGGAGGAGAGGAGAGGAACAGAAGAGGAGGAGAGGAACAGAAGAGGAGGAGAGGAGAGGAACAGAAGAGGAGGAGAGGAACAGAAGAGGUGGAGAGGAACAGAAGAGGAGGAGAGGAACAGAAGAGGUGGAGAGGAACAGAAGAGGAGGAGAGGAACAGAAGAGGUGGAGAGGAACAGAAGAGGAGGAGAGGAACAGAAGAGGUGGAGAGGAACAGAAGAGGAGGAGAGGAACAGCAGAGGAGGAGAGGAACAGCAGAGGUGGAGAGGAACAGAAGAGGUGGAGAGGAACAGAAGAGGAGGAGAGGAACAGAAGAGGAGGAGAGGAACAGAAGAGGAGGAGAGGAACAGAAGAGGUGGAGAGGAACAGAAGAGGAGGAGAGGAACAGAAGAGGAGGAGAGGAACAGAAGAGGAGGAGAGGAACAGAAGAGGUGGAGAGGAACAGAAGAGGAGGAGUGGGUGGGGCUGGGAGGGGAACAAGGAACAUAUGACACACAGUUCAAUACAUGUUUAAUCAGACAGAUGAUUCAUACAAAGUAGAAGCUAACAUGUAAACUGAUCCAUAGUUUCCUGUUCUGGUGUACAGCUCUGGUAUUAAAUCUACUACAUAUAUAUCUGGUAGUAAAAUUCAAAUAGUAUGUAGAAGAACAGAUCAAGUAAAGUGAUGCAGAGCAGACUGGUGGAAAUGGGCAAGACUCCUCAAAAUUGGCCAAAGGAAUCAGACUGGUCCCAAAAAGACUCAGAAGUUGGUCAGACUGACUCAGAUUUGUCCAAAAUGACAGAAAGAUUGUCUUCAAAGCUGAACAAAUAACAUCCUCACAUAGUGUUAGAAAGCUGCAGGUGGGUCAUGGAGACGGCGUCUUCUGUUGAGAUAAAGAUAAAAACACAAUAAAAAACCUGAUGGAAAUAAAAGCAACCUCUGGGAUAAAAACCAUGAUAAGAACACUUCUUAUUGAACAAAGCUGUUUUUAUAACACUUUGUCCUGAACCUUGGGAGCUCUCCUGCUGUAGAUGAUGGAGUCAUUAUAAAGGAUGAUAAAACCAUCCUCUGACCAAACCGCCAAGCAACAAGACAAAACAGACUCCAUAAAAGAAAACAGAGUCCGGAUUGUUCAGUCAGUGCAGAGAUAAACCAGUUUUCUGAUGAGCUGAUGGACCUUUGAACAGACAGACCUGCAGUUUUCAUCAAUUAUGGUUAAAAAGGUUAACAGGAACUAGUUCUGCUGGUAAAGAAAUCGUUCCUGUUGUUGCUGUCGGUCCUCGUUCAACAACACAAAUCCUCAUUUAACCCUUCGGCUAAUCGCUGGUCAACCUGAGUCCACCGGACAAACAAGGACAUCUUCAGUUCAGAGGGUUUAAACUGUCCCUCAGUGGGACAGAUAUAAGAUCAGAUGGAGAGCAGCUUUAUUCAUGUCCGCUCUGCAGACAAUACCGCCCCCUGGUGGAGUUGGAUGGCAACUUCCUCCACCGUUAGUCUGGGGCAGGAAACCGGUUCUAGUGCAGGUUCCUCAUCUGUCCAGUCUGAUCUCCAGUAGAACCAGUAAAAUCUCAGCAUUGUACCCUAUAAAGACCCACAACUCCUAAUGGCUCCUAAUGUUCACAUUUAAAGAAUUAUCUUUUUAUUAAACAUCAUGAACAACCUGACAUUUAUGAAGAAAAAUAGAUUCAGUUUCAUCAACAUUCAUCCUCAGUUUAUCAUUUCCACAUUAAACUUCCAGAUCACAGAGCGUCUACAAAGGAACACAACAUUUAGUCACCUGGACCUGAACCAGAGAGGGUUUACUGGAGGAUCAGAACCACAAAAGGAAGACAAAAACAAGAUAAAAUAUUACAAAAGCAAGAAACAAAACAGCAAAAAUGAGGCAAAUGACACAGAACAAAACAAAAAGAGACAAAAAUCUGACAAAAAAGUUACAAAGUGACAAAAACAUGAGACAAACGACAAAACUCAGACAAAAACAACAAAAACGAGACAAAAUAUUACAAAGAUGAGACACAAAACGACAAAAGAACAAUGAACAAUCUAGUAUUUUACUUUUAUGAUCAAACAACUUGUCAUGGUCUAGAAAUGAUUUUAAAUUUAUAGUUUUACUAAUUUACAAUCUGCAGUUAAUGUCUUCUCUGUACUUUUUACACUUUGAGGGCCGGAUUGGACCCUCUGGAGGACCACUUUUGGUCCCUGUGGAGGACCGGUUCUGGUUCGGAGGAGUAACAUUUGGCCUC